GAUGAACGCUAGCGGUAUGCUUAACACAUGCAAGUCGUACGGGAGUUUUUAACUCAAGUGGCGGACGGGUGAGUAACACGUGAGAAUUUACCUUUAGGAGGGGAUAACAAUUGGAAACGAUUGCUAAUACCCCAUAUGCUUUUUAAGUGAACGGAUUUAUUCGCCUAAAGAAAAGCUCGCGGCUGAUUAGCUAGUUGGUAAGGUAAUGGCUUACCAAGGCGACGAUCAGUAUCUGGUUUGAGAGGAUGAUCAGACACACUGGAACUGAGACACGGUCCAGACUCCUACGGGAGGCAGCAGUGGGGAAUUUUCCGCAAUGGGCGAAAGCCUGACGGAGCAAUACCGCGUGAGGGAAGAAAGCCUACUGGGUUGUAAACCUCUUUUUUUCAGGGAGGAAAAAAAUAGACGUAUACCUGAAGAAUAAG
rnacentral:rRNA from 1 species